rnacentral:rRNA from 1 species
UACGAGGGGGGCAAGUGUUGUUCGGAAUUACUGGGCGUAAAGCGCACGUAGGCGGCUUUGUAAGUUAGAGGUGAAAGCCCGGGGCUCAACUCCGGAAUUGCCUUUAAGACUGCAUCGCUAGAAUUGUGGAGAGGUAAGUGGAAUUCCGAGUGUAGAGGUGAAAUUCGUAGAUAUUCGGAAGAACACCAGUGGCGAAGGCGACUUACUGGACACAUAUUGACGCUGAGGUGCGAAAGCGUGGGGAGCAACAGG